rnacentral:miRNA from 1 species
UAGACUUGGUGUACUUUGAGAGA